rnacentral:lncRNA from 1 species
UAAUUUGCAACUUAGAGGUUUAAGAAAAGAGUUGUUUACAGCCUUAGAGCUUGAGUUGGCAUUUCUUGAAUUACUGUACUGAGAGUGACAAUAAACGUGAAGGAGAAGGUUGAGAAAAAUGAAGCAAAAAACAUUUAAUAUUUAAGAAGCAGAAGUACUAAAAGAAGAGAAAAAUGAAAUCUCUUGCCUGCAUGCAGAGUCGAUGAAAGCGAAAUUAAACACUAGACAAAGGAAAACCCAGGUAGCUUAACGUUUCAAAUUUGAUAUUAAUUAAUUAAUUAAACCAUAGCAUGUUGUCCCCAGUUUGUCCACCCUGGCAGUCUAAGAUUUCCCUCUCAAACGCUUCCCCAUCCUUUCAUCUUCCAACACAGUUUCUGCACACUGCAACGUCAGAAUAUAACUCUCUGCACAUUAUUAGCACGCUCUGUCCUUUCUUUUUUUCUUGAGCCUCCCAUUUUGUCUCUUUCUCCCACCCCAAACAAACCAAACGUCUCUCUUUGUCUCUCUCUUUCUGUCUCUAAACUCAGCUGGCCGGCAGCCAUGGUCGCCGGGGGCGGAGGAGAGUCGAAGCUAGUAGUGGAAGUGGUGG